UACGAAGGGGGCUAGCGUUGUUCGGAAUUACUGGGCGUAAAGCGCACGUAGGCGGAAUGUUAAGUCAGGGGUGAAAUCCCGGGGCUCAACCCCGGAACUGCCUUUGAUACUGGCAUUCUCGAGUCCGGAAGAGGUGAGUGGAAUUCCGAGUGUAGAGGUGAAAUUCGUAGAUAUUCGGAGGAACACCAGUGGCGAAGGCGGCUCACUGGUCCGGCACUGACGCUGAGGUGCGAAAGCGUGGGGAGCGAACAGG
rnacentral:rRNA from 1 species